AAGUCGUAACAAGGUUUCCGUAGGUGAACCUGCGGAAGGAUCAUUAGAAAUUUUUUUUAUGUAUUCAAAAAUUUUAAAUCUUUAUUAUAUUGUGUAUGAUGUUAUAUUCAAAUAAACGAGAUAACUUUCAACAACGGAUCUCUUGGCUCUU
rnacentral:misc_RNA from 1 species